UGGAGCCUGAACCCAGCAGUGGAGAGCUGCUGCUGGCAGCCCCUAGCCCUGGUUUUUACCAAUCCAUCUAGACCCUUUCCCUGCCAUUGCCAAUUGUUGUUUUAGGGUCCUUUCCCUAGCCAGCUUUUAUCCACAUUAACCCCACCCACCACGCAGUCCAGGGCAAUAUUCCUGGGACUUUGGCUGGCAGAGAGAAGGGCAGGAAGAGGCCUGACACCGAGGAAAGAAAGAUUUAAUUGACGCUCAAUCAAAGGUAGCACUUGUCUUCAAGCCCAAUCCAGCUCAGACGCGUGCCCCCACCUCCCUGUGGUCGUCUUGCUCUUUGCUGUAGUCUGAUGCCUUCCUUCCCAGAGACAUGAGUGCAGAAAUACAGAGCCUGGGUUCCUGCAAGACUGCAGGUGUAGCAGAAAGGGCCAGGGGCGCCUGAAAACAUAAGACUCUUAGCAGACAACCUGACUGUGAGCCUGGCUUAGAGGCCACCGGAUGGCACGGAGAGUUUCCACGACAGGUAACCCCGUAACUGGCAGGUUCUAGGAUCGUGCCCAACCUGACUACAAAGCUGGGGCUCUUCCCAUGCUGUCCUUCUCUGCCACCACUACAUGGGUAGCUGGUCACUGUGAGCAUGGCAGGAAAAGCUCUCUUGUUAUCCAUUAACCUGGGGUUGGAGAGUCUGAACGACCAGGAUAGUGGUCUAGGCAGAAUCCAGAGCCCUGGCUAGAAACACUCAAUCCUGGGGCCCACAGCCAGCCUGCUCAAAGCGGGAACCAUCAAAAAACGAAGCUUCAAAGAUCCACCACUACCUCCAGAAUCUCCUAGAGCAAAUCAGAAGGGCUGUGGAGGGCAAGAAUGGAGAGUGGAAAGGGACUCUAAAGUCCUGCUGUCCCUAAUGUGCUGUCCCUCCGGAUACACUUCCACAGGAGGUGGCCCUGACAGCCCAGCACACAUUGCAUGUCAGGGGCUUGGCUCUCCAUCCCAGUCUCAGAAAACCAAGUCCCUGCAUAUUCAAAGAGCAGAGUGUCUCAUGCCAAGUCCAGGCAUGCCUCAGGGUGCGAGGACUGCACAGCGAUAUCUCCCACCUCGUGAGUGACUGGAUUUAGAGGAAAUUGGCCUGACCACACAAUUCCGGGCAGAGUCUGGAUAAGCCGCACUCAUCUCUAGGCCACCGUCCAUCUUUGGUCAUCAAGGCUCUUCCGAGAGGGACAAGCAGGAGAUGAUAGUAGAGACCCUAAGCCUUGUAUGCAGAAACAGCAGCAGCAGCAGCAGCAGGAGGAGGAGGCAACUCCAAGAACACCAUGCCUUUAAUAAGCCCAGGCCCAAGGACUUUUGAAUGAAACCUAAAACUACAGUCCAGGGCAGUGUUAUGGCUCAGCAGGACCUCUGCUCGCUCUGGGUCAACUCUGUUCGCUCAGUCCCUGUUUGCUCCAGCCCAGAAAUUUAUUUAUUAUUAUACGUAAGUAUAAUAGUUGACUUCAGACGCACCAGA